GUGGUCUUCUUUGGACAUGCCAAAAUUGGCUUAAGUAUUUUAGAGCCGACUCUUCUCUUUCAUUCUUUAUUAAAAAUCUUGAAAAACUUCUAUUUUGAUUUAUUUUGACAGAGCUUCUUGAUUAUUGAUGUAAUCUUUGAAUAUUUAUAUAUUUUCUACGAACAUACUCUCAAACUUACAUUAGUACCAAAUAUACUCAAAUAUUUUAGCAUGAUCAAAAUCAAUCCAUGAGUCAAUGUGUUUAUUUAAGAGAGUGCAAUUACUUAACAACCAUCAUACUCUUGAGUUUUUAGAGAGUUCAAAGAAGAAGAAAAG
rnacentral:lncRNA from 1 species